rnacentral:misc_RNA from 1 species
AAUAAAUCAACUAUAUACCCAUUACUUUAAAAACCCAUUCAUUACCUCUAAAAACUUACACCCAAAUGUCAAUCAAGCAUUAGAUGUAUAACAAGUACCACAAAAGAACUUAAAGUGUUGUGAUGCUAUUAACAAAUAGAAGAGCAGAGCCAAGAAAAAAAGCACAAGUAGCAAUUCUUACUCAGUUGAGUUCACCGUCAGCAAUUAAAGAAAAGAAAUUUGAUUGAGGGAAAUGGAGAGAAGAG